GAUGAAGAACGUAGCGAAAUGCGAUACGUAAUGUGAAUUGCAGAAUUCAGUGAAUCAUCGAAUCUUUGAACGCAUAUUGCGCCUUCUGGUAUUCCGGAGGGCAUGCUUGUUUGAGUAUCAGUAACAACCUCAACUCUUCUUCAUUGCGGAGAAAGAGUUGGAUUUGAGCAUUUCCACAAGUUCGUCUUGGAGGAUUGCUUGAAAUAUGAGGUUCGGCCGGCAGCUGCCUGGGCUACAAGCAUUUCAUACUUAAUCCCGUCAAACGGAUUAUAUCCUUUGCUGCAGCCAACAUACAGGGUAACUUUGCCAGUGUUCCGACUGAUGCAGGAAAGUUGAGAACAGCUUUUUGCUUUCUCUUCUAAACUCGAUCUCAAAUCAAGUAAGACUACCCGCUGAACUUAAGCAUAUCAAUAAGCGGAGGA
rnacentral:misc_RNA from 1 species